ACGGGUGAGUAAUACAUCGGAACGUGCCCUGUAGUGGGGGAUAACUAGUCGAAAGAUUAGCUAAUACCGCAUACGACCUGAGGGUGAAAGUGGGGGACCGCAAGGCCUCAUGCUAUAGGAGCGGCCGAUGUCUGAUUAGCUAGUUGGUGAGGUAAAGGCUCACCAAGGCGACGAUCAGUAGCUGGUCUGAGAGGACGAUCAGCCACACUGGGACUGAGACACGGCCCAGACUCCUACGGGAGGCAGCAGUGGGGAAUUUUGGACAAUGGGGGCAACCCUGAUCCAGCAAUGCCGCGUGUGUGAAGAAGGCCUUCGGGUUGUAAAGCACUUUUGUCCGGAAAGAAAUCGUACUUACUAAUAUUAGGUGUGGAUGACGGUACCGGAAGAAUAAGGACCGGCUAACUACGUGCCAGCAGCCGCGGUAAUACGUAGGGUCCAAGCGUUAAUCGGAAUUACUGGGCGUAAAGCGUGCGCAGGCGGUUGUGCAAGACCGAUGUGAAAUCCCCGGGCUUAACCUGGGAAUUGCAUUGGUGACUGCACGGCUAGAGUGUGUCAGAGGGGGGUAGAAUUCCACGU
rnacentral:rRNA from 1 species